CUCGUAGAUGGGAGGAUCGCCUC
rnacentral:siRNA from 1 species